CUGUGUUUGCAGGAGGAGUGCAGGCUGUGGGCAUGGAAGCGUUUGGAGUGCUGUGGGGCAGAGCUGAUGCGGAGCGGUGGCGCCUCGGCGGCUGCCUGUUUUGACAGCUCUGAAGCAGGCUGCACAAGGCAGGCCUCAUGGCUGAGCACCCCACUGCUCCCUCCAGUGCUGGUGGCAUCCAAGGAGGUGUGAUUUACCUGGAAAGAGGAGCCUCACACCUUCAGAGGGAAGGAUGAAAAGUGGAAAAGCCCAGGAAGAUCAGAUGGGAGACAGGAGAUUAUCAUGCAGGUUCUCCCUCCAGGAGAUUCUUCCACUGACCUUCAGCUCAGGGUGGUCUGUGACCAAGGUGGAGAUGCUUGAAG